UACGAAGGGGGCUAGCGUUGUUCGGAAUUACUGGGCGUAAAGGGCGCGCAGGCGGCCCUCCAAGUCAGGCGUGAAGGCCCCGGGCUCAACCCGGGAAUAGCGCUUGAGACUGGGGGGCUUGAGUUCGGGAGAGGAGAGUGGAAUUCCCAGUGUAGAGGUGAAAUUCGUAGAUAUUGGGAAGAACACCGGUGGCGAAGGCGGCUCUCUGGACCGACACUGACGCUGAGGCGCGAAAGCGUGGGGAGCAAACAGG
rnacentral:rRNA from 1 species